rnacentral:rRNA from 1 species
UACAGAGAGUGCAAACGUUGUUCGGAAUUACUGGGCUUAAAGCGCACGUAGGCGGCCUCGUAAGUGUGGAGUGAAAUCCCACGGCUUACCCGUGGAACUGCUUGGCAGACUGCGAUGCUCGAGUGUGGUAGGGGAGAGCGGAACUCCUGGUGGAGCGGUGAAAUGCGUAGAUAUCUGGAGGAACACCGGUGGCGAAGGCGGCAUCCUGGACCGAUAUUGACGCUGAUGCGCGAAAGCCAGGGGAGCAAACGGG